UGAAUUUCCUAUGAAAUCAAAGCGCUGAAAUCGGCAUAAUAUUGCAAAUUCAGUUUGGAUAAAUAUUAUCACAGAAAAAAUGAAUAGUCAAAUAUUGAAUGAAGCAAUUGCCAUUGUGCAAACAAUAAAUUUCCAAAAGGCAAUGGCUAGGGCCAAAUAAAUAUAUAUUCAUCGUUAAAAUUUUCUGGAAUGCUACUUGAAACAGUCUGGACAAGGUUAUAUCAAGGUAAUUGAGGAUUAAACUUACAAAAGUGAUUCAGGAUUUAGUGUAAAAGCUGUUAGGUAAAGUAGAAAGUGCAACAUUGAGCCAGAAACACUGUGGAAAUACUGUCAAAUUAAUAAGAACUGCAACUGAAAUGCCAUGCCAAGACGAGAGUUACUGAAAAUGAUUCAAGUUAAUCAGCCUGACAUUGGUUGUAAUUGGAAUCCAGAACCAAUAUCUCAUAAGACAUAAACAAGCAUACUAGCUUAUUUGAUGCUGUUUCAGAUGUGAUUUCAUCUUUCAGAAUAUUUCAAUUUUGUUGUCUUUACCAGAAGUUACUGAAAUGGUGAUGUCUAAAUCCCUGGAAGCUUUAGAGUUUAUUCCUGUAGACAAGCUUCUAAUCAAAUGUCAGGAUUAUGAAAACACAAUAUGUUUUGAAAUUUUAUCCUCAGAAUUUUAUUCCUCAUUCUUUGAUGUUAAUGAAAUCUCCUGUGUGGCAAGUACAGUUUGGAGUUCAUAUUUUAUUUCUAAGUACAAAUGGUUCCGUACAAGCAACCAUUUCACCUGUCCACUGUGUAGAAAUGAAUUUGCUAUGUAAUAAUUUAUUAACUUGAUCAUUAAUGUGUAAAAAGAAAUGUAAAUAAAAAUUUUAUUGAUGAUUUAAAAAA